ACACAUGCAAGUCGAACGGUACAGAUCUCGCUUGCGAGAUGCUGACGAGUGGCGCACGGGUGCGUAACGCGUAUGCAAUCUACCUUUAACUGAGGAAUAGCCCAGAGAAAUUUGGAUUAAUACCUCAUAGUAUUAUUUAUAGGCAUCUAUUAAUAAUUAAAACUCCGGUGGUUAAAGAUGAGCAUGCGUCCUAUUAGCUAGUUGGUAAGGUAAAAGCUUACCAAGGCUACGAUAGGUAGGGGGCCUGAGAGGGUGACCCCCCACACUGGUACUGAGACACGGACCAGACUCCUACGGGAGGCAGCAGUGAGGAAUAUUGCGCAAUGGAGGAAACUCUGACGCAGCCAUGCCGCGUGCUAGGAUGAAUGCCCUAUGGGUUGUAAACUGCUUUUCUGCAAGAAGAAACCUUAGUACGUGUACUAAGUUGACGGUACUGCAGGAAAAGCACCGGC
rnacentral:rRNA from 1 species